AGAUCAGCCCGAGUCUUCCGCAGCGCGCAGGAGCUAGUCGUGCUGCAAAGAAUGAAAUUGGACUUGUCCAGGCGAGUUUCGGACAGUGCUGGGCUGGGCAGGAAUUCAUCAUUCAAAAGCACUGGGCGCUGCCCUCCUCACUCCCCAGCCCUGCUCUGAUCUCCCGGGUGUCUUCACCGCCUCUGGCUCCAAAAUCGGCAGCUGCACCAGCACCCAUCAAACUCUCCAGUAAGGGGAAGUGACAGCUCACCAGUAGCCCGGAAGACCCCUGUGGGCAGAAGCAUGGACUUACUCUUCCUCACGCAGAUGCGGCUGAACCAGAUUUCCUUGGCACCACUCUGGAACUUUCCACAGCCACCACCUCAGACACUAGCCAGACUUUAGGUCCUUUCCUUUCAUGUCUAAAAUGAGACAGUUCACAAUGUUGAUUUUAUUUGUAGGGGAUGUCAGGAUUCCAGAAAAGCAGACUUGGAAAGCAACAAAAUGUUAACAUGCAGCUCACUGAGGCCCUUACACUUGGUCUGGGCACCUCUGUAUGUAAAAAGAAGUCCAAUAUCUUUGCUGGUUGUAGGUGGCCAUAUGUUUCAGCACAGAAAUCGGGCUCCCCUUGCUAGACUAAUUUUUCCUCAGGCUUCAUUCAUUCAUAUUCUUCUGCUUGAUCCUGACUAUCAGGACCAACAGUACCAAAUAACACCAAAGCCUCUUGCCUCCUGUCCUCAGAAUAUUCUGUCUCAGAGGCAUCCGCUUCCCUGCUGGAGCCAUUUCAUUUCAGGCUGAUCCUUAAUUAAAUUCAGCGAGAUGCAGGACCAGUGUGUGUGAACGACAGCCUGUGUGUGUGAGUGUGGACCUGUGUGUGUGUGAACGUGGACCUGUGUGAGUGUGGACUCGUGUGUGUGAACAUGGACCUGUGUGUGUGAGUGUGGAUCUGUGUCUGUGAGUGUAGAUCCAUGUGUGUGAGUGUGGACCUGUGUGUGUAAGUGUGGAUUUGUGUGUGAGCAUGGAUCUGUGUACGUGGACCUGUGUGUGUGAGUGCGGAUCUGUGUGUGAACGUGGACCUAUGUGUGAGUGUGGACCUGUGUGUGUGAGUGUGGAUCUGUGUGUGUGUGAGAGUGGAUCUGUGUCUGUGAGUGAACCUGUGUGCCUGUGAGUGGAUCUGUCCUGUGUGUGUGAGUGUGUGUGUGAACCUCUGUGUGUGUGUGAGUGUCUGUGUGUGAGUGUGUGUGUGGAUCUGUGUGUGUGAGUGUGGAUCUGUGUGUGUGAGUGUGAAUGUGUGUGUGUGUAUCUGUGUGUGUGAGUGUGGAUCUGUGUGUGUGAGUGUGAAUGUGUGUGUGUGUAUCUGUGUGUGUGAGUGUGGGCCUGUGUGUGUGUGAGUGUGGAUCUGUGUGUGUGAGUGUGGUUGUAUGUGAGUGAACGUGGACCUGUAUGUGUGAGUGUGGACCUGUGUGUGUGAACGUGGAUCUGUGUGUGUGAACGUGGUGUUUACAAUCAGCAGGAAGAAGCCUGGAAAUGAGUCCUGAUUAAAUGAGAAUUUAAAUACAGAACAAGUACCCUAGGAGUUCUAGAAAGAUGAAUAAUUCUCAACCCAGCACAGUAACAGUUUACAAUGUGUUUGUGUAUGUUAUAAUGGAGUGGGUUUUGUUACAUGUGUAAUGCUGAUAUCGUAAGAAGAGUAUUGUCAUGCUCACAGGAUGUCAAGUACAGAAGGUUCUAACUGUUUUGUUGUAUUACUUAUCUAUUGCUGCAUAACAAAUUACCACAAACU
ensembl:lncRNA